rnacentral:lncRNA from 1 species
GCCAGCCUCUCCUUUGUCUUCUUCUCUUAAGAGUUUCACCAGUGCCCUAUUUUUGCACCAACUUCAAAUGUGCUCAAAUGGUUGACUGGUGAACUUUCGGGAUGUCUCGGUCCGUACGGAUCCGUACGGUCCGUACAGCCAGUCCCUAAGUUUGCACACUCGCCCAAAUACUCUUCUAAGUCCCUCCUGGACUUGGCCCUAUCUUUGCACCACACUUCCAUCUUCUCUCUAACUCCUCCAAAGCCCUCACAUGAUCAGUCUAAG